UGAGGAUAUUUGGAUUAGCUUCUUUUGUGGGAGUUGUAUUUUAAAUAUUAGGACCUUCAAGAAUAUUAU
rnacentral:tRNA from 1 species